UGUUUUCAGUUAUUCUGGAAUUUAUCUGCAGAAGACGUCCACAACGAUUUUAUAUUGAACUUUCAUGUGAAUCUGGAGUUUAUUUCAGUUUUAAAGCGCCUGUCUAAGAGCUGAAACCUCCGGAUCGUCUGCACAAGGAGAAACUGCUACUGUAGAUGAACUGUACUCAAGUCUCCCACAACAAACCAGAGACAUUUAUCAAACUGUCUCCUUUGGUCACCAUCAGUAUAAAUCAGAAACAAAUGUCACUGACGGGCUGGGAAACAUUUAUGAAAACAUUUUGAAUUAAAGAUCUGUCUUGAUGAAUACAACAGGAUUUCCUCGUUAUGUUGUACUUCACAACCUUUCUGUUAGUUUGCAUGUUGAACUUUAACACAAAAAA